rnacentral:lncRNA from 12 species
CUCCCCAGCAGGACACUCUAGGGACUCCAGCUGGGAGGGGAGGGGAGGACCAAGGAUAUUAGGAUUUUUUUCUGGGUGGGAGACCACACUCUUCCACUCGUAGACUUAUUGGAUGCCAGAGCUGAGACCUAUUUUACUGAGAAGAAACUGAGGUCCAGAGAUUGAUAAAGCUUUUAUACCCAGAGAGAGUGGAACUUGCAAUUCCACUGAUUAAUCUUCACCGAAAACCUCAAGAGGUGGGGAUCUUGUUCUAAGGCAGAAUUGACUCAGCAGAUCUGGGGUGAUGCCCAUGAUUUUACAUUUCUAACAAGUAGCUCCCAGGAUAUGCUGAUGCUGCCUGUACCAGAUCAUACUUUGAGAAGCAAGGAUCUAAACUAUAGCAUGGGCUCCUAACUUUGUCAGCACUUUGCAAUUAUGUGUGAGUUUUAAGAAUUACUGAUGUUUGGGGUCCUAUCCCCAGGAAUUCUGAUUUAGUUGCGGAAUGCCCUGGACAAUGAGUGUUUUUAAAGCUUCCUAGGUGGCUUCUGUCCAACACAAUAGUUUCCUUAGGGAAUAUCUUUCAGCUGAACUCCCCAAGCCUUCCAAAAUUUUGUGCAAAUACGCAUCAUCUGUAUAGAGAUGCCCUCGUACAUGCAUGUGUGCAUGUACUUCAUAACUUCAGAAAUGUUGGAACCAAAAGAAUAAAAUAAUAAUUACAAGAAUAUAAUAUAUUUUUCCUGAGCGCCUACUCUGUACUUUAUAUGCAUUACUUCAUUCAUGUAUCACUAAAACUCUACAAAAAUGUGAACCUCUAAUCCCAGAAAGGCCAGCCAGCAUUCCCAUUCUUCCAUCAAGUUUGGCAGAGUUGUGACCACUCUAUUCAUAAGGCAUCUCAGACUUAAAGAACAUCAGUCCCAUGUGUCAUAUGGGGUCAUUGCCAACCCAGGCUGGGUGAGGAGGUGCGGGGUUCAUUUUAUGACUUGCAAAGGUGGGGCUUCCGGGGAGCGGCAGGGGCAGGAGCUGGCCACAUUCAGAGGAAGCAGCUGUGGAAAUAGAAAGCCGGAAAGCAGCAGCAAGCUAGCCCUGGAUGAUUUCAUUGAUCUGAUUGGGUACAGGAUACUGUGGCCACCUGCUGAGGCUUAUUGA